rnacentral:snRNA from 1 species
GUGCUCACUUUGGCACCACAUAUACUAAAAUCGGAACCAUACAGAGAAGAUUAGCAUGGCCCCUGCGCAAGGAUGACACACAAACUCGUGAAGCGUUCUUUGGAUCU